rnacentral:rRNA from 1 species
AUUGAACGCUGGCGGCAGGCCUAACACAUGCCAGUCGAGCGGAUGAAGGGAGCUUGCUCCUGGAUUCAGCGGCGGACGGGUGAGUAAUGCCUAGGAAUCUGCCUGGUAGUGGGGGAUAACGUCCGGAAACGGGCGCUAAUACCGCAUACGUCCUGAGGGAGAAAGUGGGGGAUCUUCGGACCUCACGCUAUCAGAUGAGCCUAGGUCGGAUUAGCUAGUUGGUGGGGUAAAGGCCUACCAAGGCGACGAUCCGUAACUGGUCUGAGAGGAUGAUCAGUCACACUGGAACUGAGACACGGUCCAGACUCCUACGGGGGGCAGCAGUGGGGUAUAUUGGACAAUGGGCGAAAGCCUGAUCCAGCCAUGCCGCGUGUGUGAAGACGGUCUUCGGAUUGUAAAGCACUUUAAGUUGGGAGGAAGGGCAGUAAGUUAAUACCUUGCUGUUUUGACGUUACCAACAGAAUAAGCACCGGCUAACUUCGUG